GACGUGGAGGGUGGUGGGCAGAGGGAGGAGCUGAAUGAGGGGUGGGGGUGGGGGCUGGAACUGGGUGUGCACAAUGGGAGGGGCUUCGCAGAGCCUGGGGACACUGGAAACUGCUUUUCGCUUGGCAAGCCCCAAGCCGUGAGACGUGCCUAGAGACUGGCCUGACAGUGGUGAUAGGCAGGGUGGUGGGGACUUGGCAACAGGGAGGGGUCCCCAAGAUCACUGUCAGUCUGAGCACGGCCCAUCAGUACCUGCUGUGUGACUCUGGACACUUGCAUCCCCUCUCUGACCCUCGAUGGAAAAGUCUGUAGUUUUCUCAAAGCAAAGCAGCUGGAUGAAUUUGAGAGUACUGUGCUCAAAGCACCCAGCGGGGAACCUGGGACAGGGCGAGCACCCGCCGGACUUCCCAGAGAACCUCAGGUUUUGGGGUGGUGCUUCACAUUCGCACGCCCACAACGUGAGCUUAAGGUGGCUACAGGAGCACCGCCGGCCACCUCCAAGAUGCCUCCUCUCACACUACCAGGAAUCCUGCAGGGACAGCGAUGGCCCGGUCACCCUGUCACCCUGUCUACGCCCGCGGGGUCACCAAAGCCACCCGCCGCGUCCUGGACCCUCCGGCGCCGCCAACAAUUUGUCUCUUUCUCCUCUGUAAACAAAUGUCAGGAAAAUAAAUAGUUUUUAACGGGCUCAUUAAUUGAGUUCAGGAAGGAGCCCCUCCCCCAGGCUCCAGCGGUGCAGUCGGCAGGACGGGAGAGGGAACACGGGAGGAGGGACAGGGAGAGGGGAGGACACAGGAGAGGGGCCACGGGAGGGGGGACGCCGGAGGAGGGACACGGGAGAGGGGACGCGGGAGAGGUGAGGACAGUGGAGAGGGGACACGGGAGGGGGGAACACGGGAGGGGGAACACUGAAGGAGGGACACAGGAAGAACACGGGAGGAAGAUGAAAGGGGGACAUGGAAGACGGGCCGGGUGGGGGGCGCUAAGGGAAACAGGAAGGGGUGGGAACACGUGAGGGGUGGGAGUUUCCCCAUGCUGCCUGAUGUCACAGAACCCCGGUGCCAUCUCUUCUUCCUCCUACUGGAGAAACUGAGGCUGCAGUCCAUAAAACAUUCCAGGGCCUUGAAUCUGGAGCCUUGUUCAUGUGACUCCCAGAGCCCCACCUGAACCUGGAGCUCGUAGAUUGGGUGCGCUAUGGCCCCUCCCCCAUUCCCAGCGCUCUGGUCAUAGGGUCACGAGGUCACCAGGUCACAGGGCAGCACCUCAAUGUUGACCCCUCAGGCACUGGAUAGCUCCACUCUGGGCCAGAUGCCACCGAGUGCAGCUGAGAGAAGUCACAUGAGCACCUAAGGCCGCACAGCAAUACCCCUGCACCUGCUUUCAUGGCCCUUGGCCAAGGCCAGAAGGGCACCAGGACGAUGACAGCCCAGACUUACACCCCUCGCUCGGAAAAGGUCAUGAGGCCGCAUGGCCAGGGAGAUGUGGAAGAUGCCCUGGGAAUCCCAGCUGCUGGAAAAGCAUACUGACCAGAGACACUUAGCAACUGUCCCAAGAUCACACAGCUAGAGGGAACAAAAUCCAACUACUGGGCUCUUGUCCAAAGAGGAAAGAGGACUCUGCGGGCUGCAUGGAAUCGCCGAAAACCACUUUGUGCAGGACUCAAAGGCCCCAGCCUUCCAAUACUCUCCCCUUCCUUGUGCAUCAGUUUCUCCACCUGCAAGACACAGGCUCCACUCAAGGGGCUCUGGAACCCUGGUGCCCAUGGCUCCCUGAGAGCUGAUCCUCGGACACAGGGUUGAUGGUUUUGCCAUCUGUGUGUCCAUGGAAAAGUCGCUAACCUUCUCUGUGCAGGGCCUUAUCUCUCUGUGGCCUUGGUGCCUGUACCAGGGCUCACCGGAAUGUGAAGGACACGGUAGCCCAGGCUCCUGGCACCCCCAACCACUUGUCACCAGCUGUCCCCCAGUCAUUGAAGGAUCCCUGGGAUAAUGUAGACACAACACACUGACAGCUGGGGAAACUUGGGGACAGGCAUGACUCCUGUGUAGAUGUGUCCUGGCUUGUGGAGGGCCGUGCUGAGGAGGGGGGCCACCUCCAGACUUCAGAGUUUUUGUUCGCUCCAUUAGGUCCUCUGGAAGCUAGAGACCAGGGGACUGGAGUAAAAUGCCCAAUUUCAUGCCAAUGGGGGGGGGGGUGACAUGUGACACAAAUUGAGUACUGGUGACAUAGAUGACAUGUAGCUCAGGCUAGCCUCAACUGCAGCCCCCCCCCCCCCAUGUAGCCCAGGAUGACCUUGAACUCCUGAUCCUCCUGCCUCAACCUCCUGGGUACUGGAAUGACAUCGACCACUGAGAAGCUGCUCUUUCUGUGGCUUCCUGACUCAGUUUCCCCCUUUUAACUACUGGUAGGUUCCAAGCCUCCUCUACUGCACUGGGCCAGCUGACUCCACACUGCUUGGUGUAGCCUCAGGGACAUCCUCUCCCUCUCUGGGCCAUCCCUCCCAGACCCUUUCCUCAGAUCUGCUGUCCCUUCUAACACUGGAGAAUUCUGGGAAAAUGGCUGAGUGUUUCCUCUUUGAACUUUUUAAAAUCAACUUUUUAUUUUAUCCAUUUUAGCGACUGUGGCUUCCAGCGUGUGGCCACAAGCGCUUACCCGCUGAGCCCUUUUGUUGACCCCCCUUUCUGGAUGUGAUAGUCCGGGCUAGCCUCACACCUCUGAGCCUCCCAUCUAAGGAGCUGUAGGCAAGCCGUCCUUCCAGAACUCUGGGAAUCCCAGAGCCCCGCGGAGGUCAUUCCCGCCCACCUUGGGCCCCUAACCGCCCCGCAAAAGUGGGGCAGCCUGGUUAGGCAGCCAGCGGCGGGGAACGCCCCAGUUUGCAGCGCUGAGUCAUCCACUGCUCUGGAGGGGCUGGAGAUGAGGCUGGGGGAUGCCAGACUCAACAAGAACUCUCAUGCAAAACUCAGUAACAAACCUCAAGGCAGCAGGACACCCCGUGGUCCUAACCGCUGAGCGCCCAAUGUAUACAUUCCCGAUAAACCCCGGGGUGGGUACUGUCUCUUUUAUUCACAGAGGUGGGGAAAACACAACAGCACAGAGAAGUCGAGCUGUCCCUAGACCACAGCCAGCAAGCCGCAGACAUGGGAUUUGAACCUUUGCACGGUCCCUUCUCUAAUUCCCAGAGUAUCACUCUCGUGCUGCGUGACGGGAACACGGGGAUCCUCUCUGGGCCUCCGUCUGGUGUAAGCACGGGCCACCACACCGCACAUCCUUUUAUUUGCUAAUCAAGGGGUUAAUUAUCAGCUGAAUUCGAUUAAACACCCACAGGCGUGGGGCGCACAGGGAAACAACCCCACGGAGGCGACAUCCGAUCCCGCCCGCGCGAGGUCACGGAGUGGCUUCCCCCUGGGCAGCCUGGGACAGAUAAGGUGGCAGCGAGCUGAGACAGCGUAGUCUGGAAACGCAGCAGGGGUGGCACAGCAGAGCACCGGGGGAACAGUGAGGUCACCCUAAAGCAAAAGGGAUCUCCCAAAAGGGGGGAGGGGCUUGAGUCAGCUCCAAGGAAGCGGGUAAAGACUGAGUGCAGGGCACGGACCAUAGAAGCCCUCUCAACUACAGGUCCCACGGAGAAAUGCGCCGCAGCUCCGCCAGGCGGAGUGGAGGGGGCGGGGCAGGGCAGAAGGAAGAAGAAAAGACUAAAUUAAAGCGGAGUCGCCUGUCGCCUGAACGCAUGGAAGAUGACACGACACCUCGGGGCGUCAGAGACAAGGCGCUAUUUUUUUUUUUAUAUGUAAGAAAAACAGGGAAGCCACACAUGGCCCCGGAGAUCAAGAUGGGGCGACCCUGACAUCACUGUCGUGCUGUGCGACCUCAGACAAAAUUGCCCUCUCUGGUCACUCUUCGCAAACCCCAGCUCCUAAUCCCAAAGGUCAAAGAGCCCCCUGCGCCUCACACGCAGGUCCCCCAAUUCGUGGUCCUCGCUCCCCGGCUGCUCUAUUCUCCCCCCAGCAGCCCCUUCUUCCCCGCCCCGCAGCCCUGGCUCCCCCAGUAGUCCUGCCCCUCCCCCCAGCCCCGCUGUCCCGAUUUCAGGGGAGACUCUGCCCCUGUUGGUGCGUCCGGGGUCUUCGUUGAGGACCCUCCGGUGGAUCUUGAUCGUAGUGUGGCUGUCCACCAAGUGCAGCCUCCCCCACGACCCCCAGCACCGGCCACAGAGGACAGAGGAAGGGCGGCCUCCUCCUCACGAGGCUUCUAGUUUCUGGGACGUCAGGUGCAAGGGAGAGGAAGUGGCGGGGACCUUUCCUCAUCCAAACGCUGGACCAGAGAGGACUAGAGAUGAGCUCUGGGAUGCACAGCAGACGGAGAACAGUCCUAUCUUAGGCACAUAUCUCUCCCUCACGAGGGUCCUCGGUUGAGGGACACCCCAAAAAGGAAACCACAACCACGCAACAUUCUACUAUCCCAACCAGAUUCCAAGACUCUCCCCUCCGGCUAAGUCACAAGCAGACGAGUGGGGCUCAGGACGACAGACAGGGCUCAGCGCUGCUAGGUGUCCCCCGACCCGGCGGGUUUAUAAAUAUCUAUCUUUAUUUUUAGGCUUUUCCUCUGGCUCGCCCCCACCCCGAACUUUCUCGAUGCUCCCUCCUUUCCCCCACGCGGCGGCUGAGACACAGGGAACAGGUGAGCGCGGGGCCAGCGCGACAGGGCCACGCGGCAGGUGGGGACAUCAGCGAAGCCACAGGUCCGCGGACACCGAGAGACACACAGAGUCAACGCAGCAGGGGAAACUGAGUCACCAAGAGGCACUUGGCCGCCUUUGAGUCCACGAGGGACACGAGGACACCCCGACUUCCUGGGGUAGAGACAAGGGCCCCAGAGGCUCUGAGACUAAUCCAGUGUGCGGAGGGUCACGGCCACACUGCAGCGUGGGGACCGUGGAUGUGGGGUCCCCUUCUGUGAACCUGCCACACACCAAGAGCCCCCAAUCCCAUGGGACCCGCGGACAGACCUCAGCCUUCCUGGCCACACCCGGUCGGCAUCGCUGUCCCCUGCGGGCGCCGCCCCAAGACUGGCACCUGGCCACAGCCCCCCAAUCCUCCGGGGACACGGAUGUCACCCUCCAGGGCGCGAUACCGGCCGCAGAGCUCGCCUGGAAGCCCGGGCUCCCGCGACGGUUCGUUCGCCCUGAGCCCAAUUAGGAGGAUGCUCAGGGCAAUCUCAGUGGCGGGUGGCUGGUUUCCCCCGGGGGACUGGGGGUGGGAGAGCCAUCCCCAAGAAGAAAUGCAAUGUCAUGGUGAGGGUGUGUCCCCCCCAUACUCCUUGGGGCCCCACAAGGGACAGGACGGGAGUUUGUGGGUCUCUGGAGACCCAGGCGCGAUGGGCAGGGAGACGGACCGGAGGCCAGGCACAGACAUUAUCUGGGACCUAAGUGUCCCCCCACUGUUCCGAGCUGGGGACUCUGAGGUUGGUCGGGGCGGGAAGCCGCCCCCAGCUCCAGCUGCCCGCCUGCAGCCGCCAAGAAAUCAGCUGGCAGAAGGCAGGAGCAGGGACAGAAGGCAGCUGGAGAUUGACAGGGGGAGGGACACAAAGAAAGGAGAAAAGACCGGGCAGGGGGGAGGGGAGUCUAUGCAAAUGGCAGCUCCCACUACCCGGCCUUUAAUGAAGGAAGGAGUCGCAGCUGGCAAGAGAGGCCAGAGCCCGAGUAGGAGGGUCCCAGGCUAGCCCAGACAAAGCAGACGGCCGUUAUCUGCACCAUAGAGACAGCAGCACCCCCCGGGGGGUACAGAAGCCAGGACCCAGGAUCCAGGUGCAGAAAGAUGGGUGAACAGGAUGUGUCCACCAAUCUAACACCCUCGGGAUCCCUCUUGCUCUGUAGAAGACUCUUUGGAUCCCCGAGUGCCCAUCCAGGCUUGGGACACCUCAGAGGUCUCCAUAAUCCGAUUACGGCUGCAGCCCGGACCCCCUUCGGAGCACAAAGGCGGAGAAGCUUGGAAGCACAAAGCCGGCGCCGCCCACCCCGCCCCCUGUGUCCCCCGUGCGCCCCGUGCACCCCGGUACCUGCGGGCUCCGCAUGCUGCUCCCGGCACCGGGUCGGCCCGGGCUCCGGCGGCUCCGCGUGUGCGCGCGGCCCGAGCUGCCUGGCGGGCGGGGCAAAACCCCACUGCGGCUCGCGCGCCCCCAGCCGGUGACGUCACCCCUUCCGCCGCCGCGGCCCUGGGGCCUGGCCGUGUACAGUACUGCGCCUGCGCGCAGAUGCCUGCCCAGUGAGGAGGCGCUGCUGGGUCACGUGCUUCAGGAGCCUGUAGAAGGCCCGGGGAGCACGUGGGACGUGGGACACGUGGCCCGGCCUGUCUCCUCUGGAUUCCUUUUAAACUCAAGUUCUGUUGUAGCCCAUGCUGGCCUCAAGUUACACUGAGGAUGACCUGAGCCUCCUGCCUGUCUCCCCACUCUGCUUUCUUUGGCCAAAAUAUCCUUUCCCUAAAAUCUUUCCCAUCAAGCCCGCCUUGCUGGCUGAAGAGGCUGAAGCAGGAGGACGUCGUUUUUGAACAGCCUGGGAUAACAAUGAAUUCGAGACCAGCUUGGGAAAAGGAGGAUGAGCUGGGCAUUAAAAAAAAUUUUUUAAAAGUGGGGGUGGGGCUCAAAAUGGCUCGGCAAAUAGAGGUGUUUGCAGCCCAAGCCAGAGAACCUGACUUCAAUCCCCAAAGUCCCAUAGUGGAAGGAGGAAUCUGACUCCUAUGGCGCUGACCUCCACAUGUAUGCACACACCCAUGUCCACUGAGUUACUAGACAUGCCAAACAGAUGAAAUGCAGCAAAAGACUGAAAAACACCUUAAAGAAAAGAGUAGUCACAGGCAUGGGGUGCGAAACUUUUAGACAGCAGCAGGAGAAUUGCUGCAAGUGUGAGUCGAGUGUGGACUGCACCUGAGACCCUGCCUCAAAUAACGAAACGAUUUUGUUUUACAGUCUGGGUUUUUUUCCCCUCUGGAAUUCAUUCAUUCCGGCCCAGAGCUGGAGACAUGAGCAAGAGCCUGGAGCCGAAGAGUCCGGGCGGAAGGACUGGGUCAUAAACGGGGAAGAGUGCCAUGAAUAAUUGACAAGGAGCCUAAAUUAAGAACAGGGCUUCCCAGAGCCUGCACCGCGGCCAGUUUAGCAGAGACGGCUUUGUCCUCUUGCCUGACUGGGGUGACCCUGAUUGACGUACGUGGUGCUAGUCGAGAUUGGAGCACGUAGAAGGUGCCGGAGGUUUGCAUAGUGUUCAGGGGCCCUUAGUGUAGUUUCUCUCAUGCACAGCAGGUACUUGAAGUUUGGGUACUCUGUGGAGAUGUCCACAUCCUUGCAUAGUCCCUGCAGGUGUAUGGCACUGUUGGCUGCACACAGUGUGUACUCAUAUAUUAUGGAGCUGGGUGCUGGCAGGACUGGCCAUGCCAGAGCAGACUGGCCAUCCAUCAGGGAGGGAACCAGGCCUUGCCUUGUUUGUCCGAACUGAGUAACCGCUUCUGCCCCCUGGGUCCUCGUGAGCAGCGAAGGGGAACAUGUAAACCGCGGGUCUGAGAGUCUGGAAGCUUCCAGUGGCCAUUCAUCCCCUCUCAGAUCCCCGCUGUGUUAAAUGCCAUUUACACAGAAGUAACAAAACAGAACAAUCGGCCUGCAGCUGACAGAGCAUAGACAGGCAACAAUAUAUCAACCCAAAGCCGGUUAUGUGUUCAGCCACUUAGGGCGGCCAUCGCUACCUCUGCUUCAGUCACAGCAGACUCCUGCUCCUCCUUUGCCCCUACUCCUCCCACACAGGUUCCGGCCUGCCCCAGGGCCCUGGUACAUGCUGGUCCUCAGCCUAGUGAGAUGUUCCUUUCGCUGCUCAGAGACGACCAUUCCCAGAACCACUUCCUGGCAGACUGUUCCCAAUAUUGUGCUGAAGAGGUAUUCUCACAGUCAGAAAUGCUAUGACCCUCCGUUUGCUUCUCAUGACGCAGGCUCCUUGCUCGGGUUGUGCCUCGAUGUCCUGUCUCUGUGUGGCAACAGCUGAUGACUUAGGGCUGUAGGAAGAGUGAGGGUCAAGAGGCAGUUUCUGUUCAUAGAAACCACUUUGCCACCUCCAAGGAGAGCAUUAAAAGAGUUGUUGGCUGUCCUUGUCUGUACAGGACUGAGAAGCCUUGCCAGUCUGGGGUUAUUGGUGGUUUGCUGUGCCUGCUCCAGGCUCCUGUGUAGAGCUCAAAUCAAUUCAUUUGCAGCUCCAGCCCCAGGGCUGAGGCCAACUCUGCUCUGGAGAUCUCAGAUCCCCUCAGCCACAUCACACAGCUGCGUUCUGCCCUCCUCUCCCCACGUCCACACUUGGUGACAGCCUGUGAGAGAUGGAGGUGGAGGGGUCCUGGGCGGCUGUCCACACACCUGCCCUCCACUCACUGCCCCUUGCCUGGAUGGCCCCUGCCUGUGCCUGGUCACACUCCAGUGGUUGGCCCUGUGUCCCACCGCAGCGUUUAUGUCUGCAGGUGGCUGAGACAGCACUGCCUGCUUCAGCACUUGGCAGAGACCUGCGUGAGGCAGAGGGAGAAGGGACAUUUCUCAGUUUGGGCAUUGAGUGGUCUUGUCUUGAGCCUCUGUAGCCUAGACUGGCCUUGAACUCAUAGCAGUCCUCCUGCCUCAGUUUCCCAAAUUGCCUGCAUAACAGGCAACUGCAGCCAUACCCAGCUGCAGCUCUGUGGACGAUUUCUUGUGGUAUUGUCCAAAAAAGGCAGGAGAAAGAAAAAAAUGCAGCCAAACUGGUGGAACCCGGUAAAACAACACAGUGACUGGAAUGGAUACUGCAUAGCUGUGACCGCAGCACUCAAGAGACAGGGGCAGGUGGAUCUCCACAAGUUCAAGGCUGACCAAGUCUGCAUAGCGAACUCUUCUCAGCCACGACUUCACACUGACACCUGUCUCAAUAAAAUUAAAAAAAA